rnacentral:rRNA from 1 species
ACUCCUACGGGAGGCAGCAGUCGGGAAUAUUGCACAAUGGAGGAAACUCUGACGCAGUGACGCCGCGUGCAGGAAGAAGUUUUUCGGAUUGUAAACUGCUUCGACAGGGAAGAAAAAGACAGGUACC